rnacentral:rRNA from 1 species
AGAGUUUGAUCAUGGCUCAGAACGAACGCUGGCGGCAGGCCUAACACAUGCAAGUCGAGCGGGGACUUCGGUCCUAGCGGCGGACGGGUGAGUAACGCGUGGGAACGUACCCUUUGGUACGGAAUAGCCUCGGGAAACUGGGAGUAAUACCGUAUGUGCUCUUCGGAGGAAAGAUUUAUCGCCAAAGGAUUGGCCCGCGUUGGAUUAGGUAGUUGGUGGGGUAAUGGCCUACCAAGCCGACGAUCCAUAGCUGGUUUGAGAGGAUGAUCAGCCACACUGGGACUGAGACACGGCCCAGACUCCUACGGGAGGCAGCAGUGGGGAAUCUUAGACAAUGGGGGAAACCCUGAUCUAGCCAUGCCGCGUGAUCGAUGAAGGCCUUAGGGUUGUAAAGAUCUUUCAGUGGGGAAGAUAAUGACGGUACCCACAGAAGAAGCCCCGGCUAACUCCGUG